rnacentral:rRNA from 1 species
UUUUAUUUGAGAGUUUGAUCCUGGCUCAGGAUGAACGCUGGCGGCGUGCCUAACACAUGCAAGUUGAGCGAUUUACUUCGGUAAAGAGCGGCGGACGGGUGAGUAACGCGUGGGUAACCUACCCUGUACACACGGAUAACAUACCGAAAGGUAUGCUAAUACGGGAUAAUAUAUUUGAGAGGCAUCUCUUGAAUAUCAAAGGUGAGCCAGUACAGGAUGGACCCGCGUCUGAUUAGCUAGUUGGUAAGGUAACGGCUUACCAAGGCGACGAUCAGUAGCCGACCUGAGAGGGUGAUCGGCCACAUUGGAACUGAGACACGGUCCAAACUCCUACGGGAGGCAGCAGUGGGGAAUAUUGCACAAUGGGCGAAAGCCUGAUGCAGCAACGCCGCGUGAGUGAUGAAGGCCUUCGGGUCGUAAAACUCUGUCC